rnacentral:rRNA from 1 species
UAGGCGUGCUCUUUAGGCAAAUCCGGAGAGCUUAGCUGAGGUGUGAUAACGAGUCUGCUUGCAGACGAAGUGAGUGAUACCCUGCUUCCAGGAAAAGCCACUAAGCUUCAGCUAUAGAUUGACCGUACCGCAAACCGACACUGGUGCGCGAGAUGAGUAUUCUAAGGCGCUUGAGAGAACUCUGGAGAAGGAACUCGGCAAAUUGACACCGUAACUUCGGAAGAAGGUGUGCCUUUAGUAGGUGAACCAUUUACUUGGGGAGCCCAAUGAGGUCGCAGAGAAUCGGUGGCUGCAACUGUUUAAUAAAAACACAGCACUCUGCAAAGACGAAAGUCGACGUAUAGGGUGUGACGCCUGCCCGGUGCUGGAAGAUUAAUUGAUGGGGUGCAAGCUCUUGAUCGAAGUCCCAGUAAACGGCGGCCGUAACAAUAACGGUCCUAAGGUAGCGAAAAUUCCUUAGUCGGGUAAAGUUCCGACUGCACGAAUGGCGUAAUGAUGGCCACACUGUCUCCU